GAUGGAAAGCGUGCUCAGGGGGUGGCCCGACUCGGAUUCGAACUCGGGAGCCUUCGUUCCAGAAUCCGGCGUUGAUGCCAUUGCACCACCGGCCAGCCUAGAACAGAGUUCGGUUCAGAACCGCUCCCAUUCUGUGAACUGUUGAAAUACAUCCUUGCAGAAUGUCGACAGCUUAAACACAAUGCUGGCUCUAAAGUUAUCAGCAAAGUCACAACACAAAACACUUCCCGGGAAAUCAUCAACACACCAGAUUCUGCAGAUGCCGGAGAUCCAGAGCAACACACGCAGAAUGCUGGAGGAACUCGGCAGGCUGAUGAAGAGCAUGAAGUGCAUUUUCCAAGCAUUGAACGGACUCGCCCAACUUGGUCUCUGAUGUUAGCCUCUCCCUCCCAAAUUACCUCCCUCAACUUCCCCUUAUGUGCCACCAACUGAAUUAUGGGAGCGAUCGAACUCUACAAAUUGAACAAUAUUUUUCAUCCAUCUCAACACGUGUAUGACUGGGCGAGAGACCCUUUCUCUGAAACUUCUGCUCAGCUUGAGAACUUGAAUUUGAGAGAAGAAGAACUUUGUGAGCUGCAGCCUGAUCGUGCACUCAAGAUGAGAUUUACCAACCUGCCCCUGGACAAGUUCUGGAUUUCUGUGAAAGAAGAGUAUCCUGUCACUCAUAGGAAAGCAAUGAACAUUUUGCUGCAGUUUUCAACUUCUUACAUGCGUGAGCAAGCUUUCUCUUGUUUAACAAGCAUCAAGAGCAAGGAUAGAAAUUGUCUCAGUUCAGUUGAAGGUGAAAUCUAUGUGUGCUUAUCUCAAGUCUGACCCAGAUUUGAAUAGUUGUGCAGCAAAAAACAAGCACAGGUUUCACAUGCUAGGGCUAUAUUUGAGAUUGAUCAUAUCACUUAGUAAGAAAAUGUUUUUUCAAAGUUUUGUAUAAAAUUAUG